AGAGUUUGAUUCUGGCUCAGAAUGAACGCUGGCGGCGUGCCUAACACAUGCAAGUCGCACGAGAAAGGCUGGGUUUCGGCUUGGCCGAGUAAAGUGGCGCACGGGUGAGUAACGCGUGGGUGACCUACCCUCGAAUCUGGGAUAACCUCGCGAAAGCGGGGCUAAUACCGGAUACGUCCCUUCGGGGAGAAAGCCGGCCUCUCGAAGAAGCUGGUGUUCGGGGAUGGGCCCGCGUCCUAUCAGCUAGUUGGUAGGGUAACGGCCUACCAAGGCGACGACGGGUAGCUGGUCUGAGAGGAUGAUCAGCCACACUGGCACUGGAACACGGGCCAGACUCCUACGGGAGGCAGCAGUGAGGAAUUUUGCGCAAUGGGAGCAAUCCUGACGCAGCAACGCCGCGUGGGUGAAGAAGGCCUUCGGGUCGUAAAGCCCUGUCAGGAGGGAAGAACCUCGCUGGGGCGAAUAGCCUUGGCGACUGACGGUACCUCCAGAGGAAGCACCGGCUAACUCCGUGCCAGCAGCCGCGGUAAUACGGAGGGUGCGAGCGUUAUUCGGAAUUACUGGGCGUAAAGCGCGUGUAGGCGGCAGGGCAAGUCUGGUGUGAAAGCCCGGGGCUCAACCCCGGAAGUGCAUUGGAAACUGCUCUGCUUGAGUACCGGAGAGGAAGGGGGAAUUCCCGGUGUAGCGGUGAAAUGCGUAUAUAUCGGGAGGAAUACCAGUGGCGAAGGCGCCCUUCUGGACGGUUACUGACGCUGAGACCCGAAAGCGUGGGGAGCAAACAGGAUUAGAUACCCUGGUAGUCCACGCCGUUAACGAUGGGCACCUAGUGUAGCGGGUAU
rnacentral:rRNA from 1 species